rnacentral:rRNA from 1 species
UACGGAGGGGGCUAGCGUUGUUCGGAAUUACUGGGCGUAAAGCGCGUGUAGGCGGCAGCGCAAGUCGGAUGUGAAAUCCCAUGGCUCAACCAUGGAAGUGCACCCGAAACUGCGUCGCUAGAGUCCUGGAGAGGAAGGUGGAAUGCUUGGUGUAGAGGUGAAAUUCGUAGAUAUCAAGCGGAACACCGGUGGCGAAGGCGGCCUUCUGGACAGUGACUGACGCUGAGACGCGAAAGCGUGGGGAGCAAACAGG